rnacentral:siRNA from 1 species
UAGACUUCAUUUGCGGACAUGC